rnacentral:lncRNA from 1 species
AAAUACUAACAGUCAACGGUGGAUUUCAGCAAACAACAAUUUUCCAAGUUGAAGUAGUAAACACUUGCCCAAAAAUCAAGAAAAAACUGAAAAACCCACCUCGACAACGCCGAGCACCUGAAUGACAGCAAAAACGGUGAAAAUCCCUGCUCGCCCGGCCUCCACGCGCUACCCCGGCGUCAAACACAAGCUCGAACGGCCUCGCGGCGCGACGUCGGCGACAAAACUCCAACCGAGCUCCAAAGCCUUCAACCGGAUGAGAGUGAGAGUGAGAGAUAGAGAAUUGCAGCUAGAAGACCUCUCUCUCUUUCUCUACACGAAGCUAUAUAGAGGGGAGUGAGGGGUGAUACAAACGAGGGAGAGAAAAGACCAAAACACCCUCUCACCUACCCUGGUGUACCGGUACACGGGGUCGCGUACCGGUACAGGAAGCCAACCUGAGAGCAGUACGCGCUCAGCCAGUAUAGUAUACCGGUACACCUCGCUGGCUGUACCGGUACAGCAAGCAGAAAAAUCUGCUAUUUUGCAGAUUUCUUCGCUAAAACUGCCCUCGCGUCGCACGGAGCCCGUUUUACGUCUAUUUGACGCCAACGCGACUCGGACUUGUCCCGACACUCUCCAGAGCUGCCGACAAGCCUCCACAACUGAACACUAGGGAUCUCACAUCCUCCCCCACUACAAAAGGUUUCGUCCGCGAAACUGAAACGUACCUCUGCUCAGGCAUCAAACAAAUAGGGAUAGGCUUCCCUCAUCACCGUCUCAGGCUCCCAAGUCGCCU